GGAGAAAACAGAGAAACAGAGGACGAGAGAAGAGAGGGAUAGGACAGAGUGAGCUGAGGAAGAAACGAAGGAGGAGAGGAAGGCUAGACUCGGGUUCUUGAAGCAACAAAAGAGAUCAAAAUCAUGCACCUGGAAGGCUUGACUCAUUGAAAUAGUUUUGGCGAGUUCGCCAUGGGACUGCUGGACCCGGCGGAUUAUAAAAUGGACCUGAUCGGUCGCUGGAUCCGAUGGAAUGUAAAUAUGGGCAAGAUCGACCGCUGGACCCGGCGAAAUAUAAAUAGGGGUCUGGUUGGCCGCUGGACCUGGUGGAAUAGAAAAAGGGGUCCGAUCGGCCGUUCGACCUGGUGAAAUAUAAAUUGAGGUCAACUCUUACCACCGGAGGUUAAUAGGCGGCUCCUGCUUUUGAGACAUGGAUAUUGGGAGUUGAGGAUGAUAUGAAUGAGAUGUGCGAGGUGACGGUACCGUCAUAACUCUGUUGCGAGGAAAUGCAACCUAUGGCUAUAUUGAUUGGUUGUGUUGUAUAUUGUUCGCCUAGUUUGAUUGCUGUAAAUAAUUGUUGAGAUUGUCUGAAGUUGUUUUGUGAAAGUCGUGUUAUUUGCUGCAGCUUGAUUUAGUUAGUGUGUGACUGUUAGGUGGUGUUGAGUUAAUAGUUAAUUCUAAUAUUAUUAUAUGGUUAUAAAGAUAAUUGAUUGUUUAUG